AAGAGAAGAAGUGUAGUAACUGGUAUACAUUUUUGAGUGUACACGUUAAAAAAAAUGCCCUGAUAACAUGGUAAAGACGUUGUUGAAAACGAGUUUAAGAGAUUUACAUGAAAAAGAAAUUUUCGUUCCUUCAGUUAACCCUUAUGUAUGCAAAUGUACGAUAAAAUGGCAAAAUUUCAAAACAAUGUUGUGGUGUUUACCGGAAUUACUGAUCCCUGAUUUUAAGUAAAAAUGAUUUGUGUGACCCUCGUUUCAAAUACUUACCCUAUCUGAGAGUAAAAGUUGCAGUGGUUAAAAGUGCAUGAGGUGACAAAGUAAUCGUGGAAGAUUUAUUACGAAUUAUGGAUAUUUGUGUGACCUUUCCUUGUGUUUCUAUGCAGAGCUAGGCUUCUAUUCAUGCUAUUUAGCAUAAAGGUUGCAAUAAGCUGCACAGGCAGUCUUAAUAUUAUGUCCCCUGAGUGUAAGAGAAAUCAACUAUGGUAAUCCCUUCAUUUAAUUGAAAAAAAAAGUGUAAUCAUGUUUAAACCAGAGUAUGUAAAGUGAGGAAUUGAGUAAAAAAGGAAAGAGUUCGGUUAAUAAGUUAAUGACAUUCUGAGCAAUUGGAGUUUCCCUGAUAAUAUGGUUAAAAAUAUCAUUAAAUAAUACAUCGAAAGAUUGAGUUAGUUCAGAAGUGUGACGUUGUUAAGUGUGACCCUUUCUUAAAUCUAGGUGAGAUAUUUUUAAUUUCGCACCCUGUUCCCGUAAUCAGUGAUAUCUGGUAAAUAUGGUUUUUAAACGAUCUUGAAUAAGCAGCAUAGGCAAAUUUUGCCCUGACUGUAUUAAUUAAUACUACGAUUUUAAUAGUAGAGAGAGAGAGAGAUUUUAAUGAUUUCCCUACAAAUGUGUAUCUCAUAGGUUUUUAAAGAAUGACUAAGUCCCGUUUUAAGCGCCUUGUUACGGAAAACGUUCUGAUGUAAAUUGGUACUAAGUCUGUAUUAUGUGAACAAAUUCGAGUUAAAAAAUCCCCGUGUUAUGUCCUAGGAAGAAUCGUGUCCUGUUUCGUAAUUUUACCCUCAGAGUUUAAAAGAAUGUAAUUUAGGUUGGUUGCGUCAGUUCAAACAAUAUGUCCUUCACUUCAGAUGCCCUUUGUGAGUAAUUAAAAGAAACAAGGUUUUACAGAAUUUAAUGAAAAGUGAUCCCAAAAGAAGAGUUCUAUUAAACAGUGAAAACGGUGUGGUUUUGAGAUAAUCUGUUAAAUAAGUUCUUCGAUGAGACCGAAUUAGUUAGAAUGUGGUAAUCAAUGCUAUAAGUGUGCAAUUUUGUGUUGCGGAAAUUAUGUGGCCCUUUUUUGAAAUACCGAGCUAAAAAAAAUAGAGUAAUUUUAAGGUGUUUAGAAAAGCCCAUUUUAAUGAACUUUGUGGUAGUUUCUGAAAUAAGUGAGGUGUUGAGUGUUACAAAUAUACGAUUGUGUUGUGUGACCCAUUCUUCGAGUUCACGUCCCAUGAUGCGUUAUAGUUUUACAAAACGGUUUUAACUAACUGCGUUAUCGGUUCUUAAAAUUCUGUGCCCUGGUGUAAAAAAACAAAUUAACGACCACAAGCGUUGCAAAAAUAGUAAACAUUGAUGGUUUUAACACAAGUUGUGUAAAGAGAAGAAGUGUAGUAACUGGUAUACAUUUUUGAGUGUACACGUUAAAAAAAAUGCCCUGAUAACAUGGUAAAAGACGUUGUUGAAAACGAGUUUAAGAGAUUUACAUGAAAAAGAAAUUUUCGUUCCUUCAGUUAACCCUUAUGUAUGCAAAUGUACGAUAAAAUGGCAAAAUUUCAAAACAAUGUUGUGGUGUUUACCGGAAUUACUGAUCCCUGAUUUUAAGUAAAAAUGAUUUGUGUGACCCUCGUUUCAAAUACUUACCCUAUCUGAGAGUAAAAGUUGCAGUGGUUAAAAGUGCAUGAGGUGACAAAGUAAUCGUGGUAGAUUUAUUACGAAUUAUGGAUAUUUGUGUGACCUUUCCUUGUGUUUCUAUGCAGAGCUAGGCUUCUAUUCAUGCUAUUUAGCAUAAAGGUUGCAAUAAGCUGCACAGGCAGUCUUAAUAUUAUGUCCCGAGUGUAAGAGAAAUCAACUAUGGUAAUCCCUUCAUUUAAUUGAAAAAAAAGUGUAAUCAUGUUUAAACCAGAGUAUGUAAAGUGAGGAAUUGAGUAAAAAAGGAAAGAGUUCGGUUAAUAAGUAUUAAAGGACAUUCUGAGCAAUUGGAGUUUCCCUGAUAAUAUGGUUAAAAAUAUCAUUAAAUAAUACAUCGAAAGAUUGAGUUAGUUCAGAAAUGUGACGUUGUUAAGUGUGACCCUUUCUUAAGUCUAGGUGAGAUAUUUUUUAAUUUCGCACCCUGUUCCCGUAAUCAGUGAUAUCUGGUAAAUAUGGUUUUUAAACGAUCUUGAAUAAGCAGCAGAGGCAAAUUUUGCCCUGACUGUAUUAAUUAAUACUACGAUUUUAAUAGUAGAGAGAGAGAGAGAUUUUAAUGAUUUCCCUACAAAUGUGUAUCUCAUAGGUUUUUAAAGAAUGACUAAGUCCCGUUUUAAGCGCCUUGUUACGGAAAACGUUCUGAUGUAAAUUGGUACUAAGUCUGUAUUAUGUGAAAUAAUUCGAGUUAAAAAAUCCCCGUGUUAUGUCCUAGGAAGAAUCGUGUCCUGUUUCGUAAUUUUACCCUCAGAGUUUAAAAGAAUGUAAUUUAGGUUGGUUGCGUCAGUUCAAACAAUAUGUCCUUCACUUAAGAUGCCCUUUCUGAGUAAUUAAAAGAAACAAGGUUUUACAUAAUUUAAUGAAAAGUGAUCCCAAAAGAAGAGUUCUAUUAAACAGUGAAAACGGUGUGGUUUUGAGAUAAUCUGUUAAAUAAGUUCUUCGAUGAGACCGAAUUAGUUAGAAUGUGGUAAUCAAUGCUAUAAGUGUGCAAUUUUGUGUUGCGGAAAUUAUGUGGCCCUUUUUUGAAAUACCGAGCUAAAAAAAUAGAGUAAUUUUAACGUGUUUAGAAAAGCCCAUUUUAAUGAACUUUGUGGUAGUUUCUUAAAUAAGUGAGGUGUUGAGUGUUACAAAUAUACGAUUGAGUUGUGUGACCCAUUCUUCGAGUUCACGUCCCAUGAUGCGUUAUAGUUUUACAAAACGGUUUUAACUAACUGCGUUAUCGGUUCUGAAAAUUCUGUGCCCUGGUGUAAAAAAACAAAAUAACGACCACAAGCGUUGCAAAAAUAGUAAACAUUGUGAUGGUUUUAACACAAGUUGUGUAAAGAGAAGAAGUGUAGUAACUGGUAUACAUUUUUGAGUGUACACGUUAAAAAAAAUGCCCUGAUAACAUGGUAAAAGACGUUGUUGAAAACGAGUUUAAGAGAUUUACAUGAAAAAGAAAUUUUCGUUCCUUCAGUUAACCCUUAUGUAUGCAAAUGUACGAUAAAAUGGCAAAAUUUCAAAACAAUGUUGUGGUGUUUACCGGAAUUACUGAUCCCUGAUUUUAAGUAAAAAUGAUUUGUGUGACCCUCGUUUCAAAUACUUACCCUAUCUGAGAGUAAAAGUUGCAGUGGUUAAAAGUGCAUGAGGUGACAAAGUAAUCGUGGAAGAUUUAUUACGAAUUAUGGAUAUUUGUGUGACCUUUCCUUGUGUUUCUAUGCAGAGCUAGGCUUCUAUUCAUGCUAUUUAGCAUAAAGGUUGCAAUAAGCUGCACAGGCAGUCUUAAUAUUAUGUCCCCUGAGUGUAAGAGAAAUCAACUAUGGUAAUCCCUUCAUUUAAUUGAAAAAAAAAGUGUAAUCAUGUUUAAACCAGAGUAUGUAAAGUGAGGAAUUGAGUAAAAAAGGAAAGAGUUCGGUUAAUAAGUUAAUGACAUUCUGAGCAAUUGGAGUUUCCCUGAUAAUAUGGUUAAAAAUAUCAUUAAAUAAUACAUCGAAAGAUUGAGUUAGUUCAGAAGUGUGACGUUGUUAAGUGUGACCCUUUCUUAAAUCUAGGUGAGAUAUUUUUAAUUUCGCACCCUGUUCCCGUAAUCAGUGAUAUCUGGUAAAUAUGGUUUUUAAACGAUCUUGAAUAAGCAGCAUAGGCAAAUUUUGCCCUGACUGUAUUAAUUAAUACUACGAUUUUAAUAGUAGAGAGAGAGAGAGAUUUUAAUGAUUUCCCUACAAAUGUGUAUCUCAUAGGUUUUUAAAGAAUGACUAAGUCCCGUUUUAAGCGCCUUGUUACGGAAAACGUUCUGAUGUAAAUUGGUACUAAGUCUGUAUUAUGUGAACAAAUUCGAGUUAAAAAAUCCCCGUGUUAUGUCCUAGGAAGAAUCGUGUCCUGUUUCGUAAUUUUACCCUCAGAGUUUUAAAAGAAUGUAAUUUAGGUUGGUUGCGUCAGUUCAAACAAUAUGUCCUUCACUUCAGAUGCCCUUUGUGAGUAAUUAAAAGAAACAAGGUUUUACAGAAUUUAAUGAAAAGUGAUCCCAAAAGAAGAGUUCUAUUAAACAGUGAAAACGGUGUGGUUUUGAGAUAAUCUGUUAAAUAAGUUCUUCGAUGAGACCGAAUUAGUUAGAAUGUGGUAAUCAAUGCUAUAAGUGUGCAAUUUUGUCUUGCACUUGUUUUGAAAUUAUGUGGCCCUUUUUUGAAAUACCGAGCUAAAAAAAUAGAGUAAUUUUAAGGUGUUUAGAAAAGCCCAUUUUAAUGAACUUUGUGGUAGUUUCUGAAAUAAGUGAGGUGUUGAGUGUUACAAAUAUACGAUUGAGUUGUGUGACCCAUUCUUCGAGUUCAUGUCCCAUGAUGCGUUAUAGUUUUACAAAACGGUUUUAACUAACUGCGUUAUCGGUUCUUAAAAUUCUAUGCCCUGGUGUAAAAAAACAAAAUAACGACCACAAGCGUUGCAAAAAUAGUAAACAUUGUGAUGGUUUUAACACAAGUUGUGUAAAGAGAAGAAGUGUAGUAACUGGUAUACGUUUUUGAGUGUACACGUUAAAAAAAAUGCCCUGAUAACAUGGUAAAAGACGUUGUUGAAAACGAGUUUAAGAGAUUUACAUGAAAAAGAAAUUUUCGUUCCUUCAGUUAACCCUUAUGUAUGCAAAUGUACGAUAAAAUGGCAAAAUUUCAAAACAAUGUUGUGGUGUUUACCGGAAUUACUGAUCCCUGAUUUUAAGUAAAAAUGAUUUGUGUGACCCUCGUUUCAAAUACUUACCCUAUCUGAGAGUAAAAGUUGCAGUGGUUAAAAGUGCAUGAGGUGACAAAGUAAUCGUGGUAGAUUUAUUACGAAUUAUGGAUAUUUGUGUGACCUUUCCUUGUGUUUCUAUGCAGAGCUAGGCUUCUAUUCAUGCUAUUUAGCAUAAAGGUUGCAAUAAGCUGCACAGGCAGUCUUAAUAUUAUGUCCCGAGUGUAAGAGAAAUCAACUAUGGUAAUCCCUUCAUUUAAUUGAAAAAAAAAGUGUAAUCAUGUUUAAACCAGAGUAUGUAAAGUGAGGAAUUGAGUAAAAAAGGAAAGAGUUCGGUUAAUAAGUUAAUGACAUUCUGAGCAAUUGGAGUUUCCCUGAUAAUAUGGUUAAAAAUAUCAUUAAAUAAUACAUCGAAAGAUUGAGUUAGUUCAGAAAUGUGACGUUGUUAAGUGUGACCCUUUCUUAAGUCUAGGUGAGAUAUUUUUAAUUUCGCACCCUGUUCCCGUAAUCAGUGAUAUCUGGUAAAUAUGGUUUUUAAAACGAUCUUGAAUAAGCAAGCAGAAGGGGCAAAUUUUGCCCUGACUAUAGCAAUUAAUACUACGAUUUUAAUAGUAGAGAGAGAGAGAGAGAUUUUAAUGAUUUCCCUACAAAUGUGUAUCUCAUAGGUUUUUAAAGAAUGACUAAGUCCCGUUUUAAGCGCCUUGUUACGGAAAAACGUUCUGAUGUAAAUUGGUACUAAGUCUGUAUUAUGUGAACCAAUUCGAGUUAAAAAAUCCCCGUGUUAUGUCCUAGGAAGAAUCGUGUCCUGUUUCGUAAUUUUACCCUCAGCGUUUAAAAGAAUGUAAUUUAGGUUGGUUGCGUCAGUUCAAACAAUAUGUCCUUCACUUAAGAUGCCCUUUGUGAGUAAUUAAAAGAAACAAGGUUUUACAGAAUUUAAUGAAAAGUGAUCCCAAAAGAAGAGUUCUAUUAAACAGUGAAAACGGUGUGGUUUUGAGAUAAUCUGUUAAAUAAGUUCUUCGAUGAGACCGAAUUAGUUAGAAUGUGGUAAUCAAUGCUAUAAGUGUGCAAUUUUGUGUUGCGGAAAUUAUGUGGCCCUUUUUUGAAAUACCGAGCUAAAAAAAUAGAGUAAUUUUAACGUGUUUAGAAAAGCCCAUUUUAAUGAACUUUGUGGUAGUUUCUGAAAUAAGUGAGGUGUUGAGUGUUACAAAUAUACGAUUGAGUUGUGUGACCCAUUCUUCGAGUUCAUGUCCCAUGAUGCGUUAUAGUUUUACAAAACGGUUUUAACUAACUGCGUUAUCGGUUCUUAAAAUUCUAUGCCCUGGUGUAAAAAAACAAAAUAACGACCACAAGCGUUGCAAAAAUAGUAAACAUUGUGAUGGUUUUAACACAAGUUGUGUAAAGAGAAGAAGUGUAGUAACUGGUAUACGUUUUUUGAGUGUACACGUUAAAAAAAAUGCCCUGAUAACAUGGUAAAAAGACGUUGUUGAAAACGAGUUUAAGAGAUUUACAUGAAAAAGAAAUUUUCGUUCCUUCAGUUAACCCUUAUGUAUGCAAAUGUACGAUAAAAUGGCAAAAUUUCAAAACAAUGUUGUGGUGUUUACCGGAAUUACUGAUCCCUGAUUUUAAGUAAAAAUGAUUUGUGUGACCCUCGUUUCAAAUACUUACCCUAUCUGAGAGUAAAAGUUGCAGUGGUUAAAAGUGCAUGAGGUGAGAAAGUAAUCGUGGUAGAUUUAUUACGAAUUAUGGAUAUUUGUGUGACCUUUCCUUGUGUUUCUAUGCAGAGCUAGGCUUCUAUUCAUGCUAUUUAGCAUAAAGGUUGCAAUAAGCUGCACAGGCAGUCUUAAUAUUAUGUCCCCUGAGUGUAAGAGAAAUCAACUAUGGUAAUCCCUUCAGUUUAAUUUGAAAACAAAGUGUAAUCAUGUUUAAACCAGAGUAUGUAAAGUGAGGAAUUGAGUAAAAAAGGAAAGAGUUCGGUUAAUAAGUUAAUGACAUUCUGAGCAAUUGGAGUUUCCCUGAUAAUAUGGUUAAAAAUAUCAUUAAAUAAUACAUCGAAAGAUUGAGUUAGUUCAGAAAUGUGACGUUGUUAAGUGUGACCCUUUCUUAAGUCUAGGUGAGAUAUUUUUAAUUUCGCACCCUGUUCCCGUAAUCAGUGAUAUCUGGUAAAUAUGGUUUUUAAACGAUCUUGAAUAAGCAGCAGAGGCAAAUUUUGCCCUGACUAUAGCAAUUAAUACUACGAUUUUAAUAGUAGAGAGAGAGAGAGAUUUUAAUGAUUUCCCUACAAAUGUGUAUCUCAUAGGUUUUUAAAGAACGACUAAGUCCCGUUUUAAGCGCCUUGUUACGGAAAACGUUCUGAUGUAAAUUGGUACUAAGUCUGUAUUAUGUGAACCAAUUCGAGUUAAAAAAUCCCCGUGUUAUGUCCUAGGAAGAAUCGUGUCCUGUUUCGUAAUUUUACCCUCAGAGUUUAAAAGAAUGUAAUUUAGGUUGGUUGCGUCAGUUCAAACAAUAUGUCCUUCACUUAAGAUGCCCUUUGUGAGUAAUUAAAAGAAACAAGGUUUUACAUAAUUUAAUGAAAAGUGAUCCCAAAAGAAGAGUUCUAUUAAACAGUGAAAACGGUGUGGUUUUGAGAUAAUCUGUUAACUAAGUUCUUCGAUGAGACCGAAUUAGUUAGAAUGUGGUAAUCAAUGCUAUAAGUGUGCAAUUUUGUGUUGCGGAAAUUAUGUGGCCCUUUUUUGAAAUACCGAGCUAAAAAAAAAUAGAGUAAUUUUAAGGUGUUUAGAAAAGCCCAUUUUAAUGAACUUUGUGGUAGUUUCUGAAAUAAGUGGGGUGUUGAGUGUUACAAAUAUACGAUUGUGUUGUGUGACCCAUUCUUCGAGUUCAUGUCCCAUGAUGCGUUAUAGUUUUACAAAACGGUUUUAACUAACUGCGUUAUCGGUUCUUAAAAUUCUAUGCCCUGGUGUAAAAAAAACAAAAUAACGACCACAAGCGUUGCAAAAAUAGUAAACAUUGUGAUGGUUUUAACACAAGUUGUGUAAAGAGAAGAAGUGUAGUAACUGGUAUACAUUUUUGAGUGUACACGUUAAAAAAAAAUGCCCUGAUAACAUGGUAAAAGACGUUGUUGAAAACGAGUUUAAGAGAUUUACAUGAAAAAGAAAUUUUCGUUCCUUCAGUUAACCCUUAUGUAUGCAAAUGUACGAUAAAAUGGCAAAAUUUCAAAACAAUGUUGUGGUGUUUACCGGAAUUACUGAUCCCUGAUUUUAAGUAAAAAUGAUUUGUGUGACCCUCGUUUCAAAUACUUACCCUAUCUGAGAGUAAAAGUUGCAGUGGUUAAAAGUGCAUGAGGUGACAAAGUAAUCGUGGAAGAUUUAUUACGAAUUAUGGAUAUUUGUGUGACCUUUCCUUGUGUUUCUAUGCAGAGCUAGGCUUCUAUUCAUGCUAUUUAGCAUAAAGGUUGCAAUAAGCUGCACAGGCAGUCUUAAUAUUAUGUCCCCUGAGUGUAAGAGAAAUCAACUAUGGUAAUCCCUUCAUUUAAUUGAAAAAAAAAAGUGUAAUCAUGUUUAAACCAGAGUAUGUAAAGUGAGGAAUUGAGUAAAAAAGGAAAGAGUUCGGUUAAUAAGUUAAUGACAUUCUGAGCAAUUGGAGUUUCCCUGAUAAUAUGGUUAAAAAUAUCAUUAAAUAAUACAUCGAAAGAUUGAGUUAGUUCAGAAGUGUGACGUUGUUAAGUGUGACCCUUUCUUAAAUCUAGGUGAGAUAUUUUUAAUUUCGCACCCUGUUCCCGUAAUCAGUGAUAUCUGGUAAAUAUGGUUUUUAAACGAUCUUGAAUAAGCAGCAUAGGCAAAUUUUGCCCUGACUGUAUUAAUUAAUACUACGAUUUUAAUAGUAGAGAGAGAGAGAGAGAUUUUAAUGAUUUCCCUACAAAUGUGUAUCUCAUAGGUUUUUAAAGAAUGACUAAGUCCCGUUUUAAGCGCCUUGUUACGGAAAACGUUCUGAUGUAAAUUGGUACUAAGUCUGUAUUAUGUGAACAAAUUCGAGUUAAAAAAUCCCCGUGUUAUGUCCUAGGAAGAAUCGUGUCCUGUUUCGUAAUUUUACCCUCAGAGUUUAAAAGAAUGUAAUUUAGGUUGGUUGCGUCAGUUCAAACAAUAUGUCCCUUCACUUCAGAUGCCCUUUGUGAGUAAUUAAAAGAAACAAGGUUUUACAGAAUUUAAUGAAAAGUGAUCCCAAAAGAAGAGUUCUAUUAAACAGUGAAAACGGUGUGGUUUUGAGAUAAUCUGUUAAAUAAGUUCUUCGAUGAGACCGAAUUAGUUAGAAUGUGGUAAUCAAUGCUAUAAGUGUGCAAUUUUGUGUUGCGGAAAUUAUGUGGCCCUUUUUUGAAAUACCGAGCUAAAAAAAAUAGAGUAAUUUUAAGGUGUUUAGAAAAGCCCAUUUUAAUGAACUUUGUGGUAGUUUCUGAAAUAAGUGAGGUGUUGAGUGUUACAAAUAUACGAUUGAGUUGUGUGACCCAUUCUUCGAGUUCACGUCCCAUGAUGCGUUAUAGUUUUACAAAACGGUUUUAACUAACUGCGUUAUCGGUUCUGAAAAUUCUGUGCCCUGGUGUAAAAAAACAAAAUAACGACCACAAGCGUUGCAAAAAUAGUAAACAUUGUGAUGGUUUUAACACAAGUUGUGUAAA